rnacentral:SRP_RNA from 1 species
GCCGGACGCGGUAGUGCAUGCCUGUAGUCCCAGCUACUCGGGAGGCUGAGAUGGGAGGAUCGCUUGAGCCCAGGAGUUCUGGGCUGCAGUGCGCUAUGCCAAUUGGGUGUCCGCACUAAGUUCGGCAUCAAUAUGGUGACCUCUUGGGAGCGGGGGACCACCAGGUUACCUAAGGAGGGGUGAACCGGCCCAGGUCGGAAACGGAGCAGGUCAAAACUCCUGUGCUGAUCAGUAGUGGGAUCGCGCCUGUGAAUAGCCACUGCACUCCAGCCUGGGCAACAUAGCGAGACCCGGUCUCU